rnacentral:lncRNA from 1 species
AAGGAUUUUCACAAUCAUUAGUUUACAUUAAUAAAUUUUUUGUUAAAAAGCAUAGUAUUUUUUAACAUUCUCAGAUAUGCUUUCUUUGACAACACAUGCACUUCAUUUUGCCACAUAUCUUCAUUCUUCAUCAACUACUUACUUUGCAACACUUGCCAUGUACUCAGCCAUCCUUUACAUUGCACAUAUUAUCAGCCACUGUAUCCAGCCUUACAUGCAUUCAUGUUCAUAAACUUACUGCAAACUCAGAUCUCCAUUUUCAUUCAUAUUCAGUUUUGUCCUCACAUUUAGUCAUUCAAUAGAUUCUUCCAAUCACCAGAUAGUAAUCUGGUUAUUGGAAGAAUCUGUUGAAUGAUGUCUGUACACUCCUCAUCACUUGUAUUCACAACUUUUAUAUUCUCGUUUGUUAUACAUAAUCAAAAUCAAUCAUACUCUUGCAAAUAUAUUUUAUGAAUUUCAUAAAUAAAUACACAAUGACUGUGUAUGAACAAAUGAACUGUAUAAACA